UAGGGAAUAUUGCGCAAUGGGCGAAAGCCUGACGCAGCGAUACCGCGUGAGUGAGGAAGGUCUUCGGAUUGUAAAACUCUGUCAAAAUGGAAAAAUGGCACUUGUUCGAACAGGGCAAGUGUUUGAUGGUACAUUUAGAGGAAGCACCGGCUAACUUCGUGCCAGCAGCCGCGGUAAUACGAAGGGUGCAAGCGUUGUUCGGAAUUAUUGGGCGUAAAGCGCGCGCAGGCGGGUAAGCAAGUCAAGUGUGAAAUCUCGGGGCUCAACCUCGAAACUGCGCCUGAAACUGCUUAUCUAGAAUAUCGGAGAGGGAAGGGGAAUUUCGCAUGUAGGGGUAAAAUCCGUAGAUAUGCGAAGGAACACCGGAGGCGUAAGCGCCUUCCUGGACGAUUAUUGACGCUGAGGCGCGAAAGCGUGGGGAGCAAACAGG
rnacentral:rRNA from 1 species